UACGUAUGGGGCUAGCGUUAUCCGGAAUUACUGGGCGUAAAGGGUGCGUAGGUGGUUUCUUAAGUCAGAGGUGAAAGGCUACGUCUCAACCGUAGUAAGCCUUUGAAACUGGGAAACUUGAGUGCAGGAGAGGAGAGUGGAAUUCCUAGUGUAGCGGUGAAAUGCGUAGAUAUUAGGAGGAACACCAGUUGCGAAGGCGGCUCUCUGGACUGUAACUGACACUGAGGCACGAAAGCGUGGGGAGCAAACAGGAUUAGAUACCCUGGUAGUCCCUGA
rnacentral:rRNA from 1 species